rnacentral:rRNA from 1 species
AGUGAAUAGAUACCCUGGUAGUCCUAGCCGUAAACGAUACUCGCUAGGUGUCGGCCACGGUGCGACCGUUGUCGGUGCCGUAGGGAAAGCCGUGAAGCGAGCCACCUGGGAAGUACGGCCGCAAGGCUGAAACUUAAAGGAAUUGGCGGGGGAGCACCACAACGGGUGGAGCUUGCGGUUUAAAUUGGAUUCAACGCCGGAAAUCUUACCGGGACCGACAGCAAUAUGAAGGCCAGGCUGAAGACUUUGCCGGAUUAGCUGAGAGGUGGUGCAUGGCCGUCGUCAGUUCGUACUGUGAAGCAUCCUGUUAAGUCAGGCAACGAGCGAGACCCACGCCCACAGUUGCCAGCGUACUCUCCGGAGUGACGGGUACACUGUGGGGACCGCCGCUGCUAAAGCGGAGGAAGGAAUGGGCAACGGUAGGUCAGUAUGCCCCGAAUAUCCCGGGCUACACGCGAGCUACAAUGGUUGGUACAAUGGGUAUCUACCCCGAAAGGGGUAUGGAAAUCUCCUAAAGCCAAUCUUAGUUCGGAUUGAGGGCUGCAACUGCCCUC